rnacentral:rRNA from 1 species
GACGAACGCUGGCGGCGUGCUUAACACAUGCAAGUCGAGCGGUAAGGCCCUUUCGGGGGUACGACGAGCGGCGAACGGGUGAGUAACACGUGGGUGACCUGCCCUCAGCUCUGGGAUAAGCCUGGGAAACCGGGUCUAAUACUGGAUAUGACUCCAUGACGCAUGUUGUGGGGUGGAAAGCCUUGUGCGGCUGAGGAUGGGCCCGCGGCCUAUCAGCUUGUUGGUGGGGGAUGGCCUACCAAGCGACGACGGGUAGCCGGCCUGAGAGGGCGACCGGCCGACACUGGGACUGAGACACGGCCCAGACUCCUACGGGAGGCAGCAGUGGGGAAUCUUGCGCAAUGGGCGAAAGCCUGACGCAGCGACGCCGCGUGAGGGAUGACGGCCUGGU